rnacentral:lncRNA from 1 species
UUUUUUAGUGUGUAUUAAAAUGAAUUUAUUUACACAGUAACAUGAUGCCACAGAGUACACAGCAAAGUACCACAGCAAACCAAAGGGUGGCGCCACUGGUGGCAGAGGGGACCUUUCAAUGAUAGAUUUAUACAACUUUACAAUAUGUAAGUAGAGGGGUGAAGCUCUGGAAAGAGCAAAAACAAGAUUUUCAAAUAUAGAGUGUGGGCAGGGCCAGAGAGAAUUAAAGAGAGAUUGGAAUGAGGACUGUCAUGAUUCAAAUCACUAAGUAGGAUGAAAUCUUGCUUCUGUAUUUGCCUCAUGCCAAAAUGCCCUGCAUAUCCUCGACAGAAAAUCCCAACCCAGUGUGUUCACACAUCACACUCUUUAGCUCUAACUGGUAAAGGAAGGGAUAACCAAGUAGUAUUUGGAGCAAGUUCCUGAAGCGGUGUGGUUUAACCUUUCAAAAACGAACCCUAUGUCUGGUUCAACAUUCAAGUUAUCACGAGUGCGGACACACACAUACUAUCCACACACUAACAGGCAAAGUGGGCUUUCUGUACUACAACAAUAUUCGUAGCAAAAUAUAUGACUCUGUACUUCUGCUAGGUUAAAAAAUUUCUGACCUCUUUUGAUUCCCUGAAACUUUCUUGAUUAAAAAAACAAACAAAACAAAACCAACCAAACCAUGGGGGUGGAUGGGACACAUCAAGAUAAAAAGCUGGAAUAAACCUGGAGACUUUCUGGAGUGGGAAACAUGUAAUGGGAUGUUGGGAAUGCAGGCCCUCGCAGCCCACCUAGGUGGGGAAAGCUUCUAGCAAUGGGUGAUGCAAAAAUCUAUUCUAAUUUUAAACAGUUGCAGGGAAGGGGUGUUUAACAGCUGUAUAGCACCUUGUACAUUCUGGGCACUUAUAGAUAUUAAAUGAUGGUGAUGAUGAAUGGUAAACAACUCUGUAGGAAGGUUUAUAAAAACAAUUACAAUUUGUUAAGAAGUUUCCCAAGAGUUCUUUAAACAAACCUAUUAACUACCAUAUCCCUUAAAAAAAAUCCUCCGUUCUCAGUAUUAUAUUGAUAUGAUGUUCUCAAGCUGAGGUUUGGAUAAUAGCCACAGUCAUGUCAAGGGGAGAUGGAAGAAUUCCUUCUCCUGAAAUACUGAGGAACUUCGUAUCUGCCAGGGCUUUCAUUAUCAUCAUCAUCAUCAUCUUCUUCUAAUACACAAAAUGGACUUUUUAAAAAGGUGCUUUUCUGAGGAUGGAUUUAUCAGCUAAAUGCCUUGACAUGGAAUGUAUGUGAACUCCCCUCCCACGCCAUCUGUCACAGCUCACGCUCAUCAUCUUAGAAGCAUCGGAUAAAAAGGCUUGAUUUCUUUGGUAUAAUCUCUCCCAGGAUCUUGCACUACAACUCUUCUGGCCUCCCUUACGGCAGCGUUUUUGGUCCAUGGAAUCCCCACUUUCGGCACUGUUGUAAGCACGGACAGCUGGACUUCAGUGCGCACUUCGGCAGGAGCAGCACUUGGAUUUGUCUCGGCACAGCGCUUUGGGCCUUUGAGAAUAUGAGCUUCAAUGAGGUAAAACUAAUAACCUGGUUUUGUGGGCAGCCAUCCUGUUCACUCAUUAGCCUGGAGCAGAAUUUUCAAUCCCUAUUAACUAGUGACGGGAAAGAAAAACAUGCCAGGGUUGGCCCAGAAGUCCAGUUUUUCUUACCCCUCUCCAAGAAUGUUCAUACUAUAUUUACACAUCUAGAAUCAUUUGAAAUAUAGUGUAGUAUCCUAAAUCCAUCUCUAUUUCUGGGACUAGCCUGUACUUUUUCAGAUCACUGCUGGUAAAAUCUAGGAGAAAAUCCUAAUUACAGCGAAAUCUAGUGAAAACCCUAAUUCCAGCAAAACCAAAUGUCAGGUUACUUCCCAGAACCAAAGUAUUCGUAACUCAAAAUUGAGAAGCUUAGUAGGACCCAAAGAUCUUUCCUGGAAAUCUUUUUUUUUUUUUGAGAUGAACUCUCACUCUUGUCUCCCAGGCUGGAGUGUGAUGGCGCAAUCUCGGCUCACUGCAACCUCCACCUCCUGGGUUCAAGCGAUUCUCUUGCCUCAGCCUCCCGAGUAGCUGAGAUUACAGGCACGCGCCAUCACGCCCAGCUAAUUUUUGCAUUUUUAGUAGAGAUGGGGUUUCACCAUGUUGGCCAGGCUGGUCUUGAUCUCCUGACCUCAGGUGAUCCGCCCACCUCGGCCUCCUAAAGUGCUGGAUUACAGGCGUGAGCCAUUGCGCCUGGCCUGGGAACUUUACACUACUAGAAACUUUUAAGAUAUAAUUUUCGGUAGUUUUACUCCCAGAAAUAUCAUGAGUAUUUCUAGAGCUUUAGCUCUCUUGGCUUAGACUUUCCCACGUUUACAAACUUAUUCUGAGUUUGGAAGCAAAAUUGACCCCCCCCUUAAUCUGACAAUGGGAGGCUAUUCCAACUGUUAAAAUCCUAACCAAUAUGUUUUACUUCUAGCUCCUCAACAGCAGCAGGGUAGAUAGGAUGAGUGCUUGUGCCCUCACCCCAACCCAUACCUCACCCAGUUCAUCUUCUGAGGGCAAAUCUUGAAACUCAUUGCCAUAUUCCUGGCUUCCAGUUCUAGCUCAGCCUAGGGGUUGGUGAUUCUUAUGUUGUCGUUCCACAGGUUACAGUUACUCUUUUUCUCAUCCUGCUGUUAUUCUUCACGAAUUGGCUUCUAGGCAUCCCAGUAGCGUACAUAUACCAAAAGGGCUCACCUCAGCCAGCACAGGAGGCUUCUUGAAGUUCUAGUCCUCUUUGUGAAACAUCCACUGAAUCGCUUCCAAGACUAGGUUACCACUCUAACAAGGCACUCUGCUAUACAUUCAGUCUUGCUCUUGGCUACUUUAGCCACUGUUGUGUUUCUCUAGCACCCAAGUGUCACAGAGAUUGUUCAUGCUCAUGUGGCUUAAGGAAAAGUUCCAAUAGGAGCUUAAUUGUUCAAACUCUCAAUAUAAAUGGAAAACUCUAUAGUAUAGACUUCAAUAGAAAACAAUUUCCAAUCAAUAUUGAAGGCAAUAACUUCGUGUUACUUGAGAAAACGUAAAGUGC